rnacentral:rRNA from 1 species
UACGAAGGGGGCGAGCGUUGUUCGGAUUUACUGGGCGUAAAGGGCGCGCAGGCGGCUCAUUUUGUCAGGCGUGAAAGCCCCGGGCUUAACCUGGGAACUGCGUUUGAUACGGAUGGGCUAGAGUUCGGGAGAGGAGAGUGGAAUUCCCAGUGUAGAGGUGAAAUUCGUAGAUAUUGGGAAGAACACCAGCGGCGAAGGCGGCCCCCUGGGCCGCUCCUGACGCUGAGACGCGAAGGCCAGGGUAGCGAACGGG